UUAAGCGACUAAGCGUACACGGUGGAUGCCCUGGCAGUCAGAGGCGAUGAAGGACGUGCUAAUCUGCGAAAAGCGUCGGUAAGGUGAUAUGAACCGUUACAGCCGGCGAUGUCCGAAUGGGGAAACCCAGUGCAAUUCGUUGCACUAUCGUUAACUGAAUACAUAGGUUAACGAGGCGAACCGGGGGAACUGAAACAUCUAAGUACCCCGAGGAAAAGAAAUCAACCGAGAUUCCCCCAGUAGCGGCGAGCGAACGGGGAGCAGCCCAGAGUCUGAAUCAGCUUGUGUGUUAGUGGAACGGUCUGGAAAGUCCGACGGUACAGGGUGAUAGUCCCGUACACCAAAAUGCACAGGCUGUGAACUCGAAGAGUAGGGCGGGACACGUGGUAUCCUGUCUGAAUAUGGGGGGACCAUCCUCCAAGGCUAAAUACUCCUGACUGACCGAUAGUGAACCAGUACCGUGAGGGAAAGGCGAAAAGAACCCCGGCGAGGGGAGUGAAAAAGAACCUGAAACCGUGUACGUACAAGCAGUGGGAGCACCUUCGGGUGUGACUGCGUACCUUUUGUAUAAUGGGUCAGCGACUUAUAUUCUGUAGCAAGGUUAACCGUAUAGGGGAGCCGCAGGGAAACCGAGUCUUAACUGGGCGUUAAGUUGCAGGGUAUAGACCCGAAACCCGGUGAUCUAGCCAUGGGCAGGUUGAAGGUUGGGUAACACUAACUGGAGGACCGAACCGACUAAUGUUGAAAAAUUAGCGGAUGACUUGUGGCUGGGGGUGAAAGGCCAAUCAAACCGGGAGAUAGCUGGUUCUCCCCGAAAGCUAUUUAGGUAGCGCCUCGUGAACUCAUCUUCGGGGGUAGAGCACUGUUUCGGCUAGGGGGUCAUCCCGACUUACCAACCCGAUGCAAACUACGAAUACCGAAGAAUGUUAUCACGGGAGACACACGGCGGGUGCUAACGUCCGUCGUGAAGAGGGAAACAACCCAGACCGCCAGCUAAGGUCCCAAAGUCAUGGUUAAGUGGGAAACGAUGUGGGAAGGCACAGACAGCCAGGAUGUUGGCUUAGAAGCAGCCAUCAUUUAAAGAAAGCGUAAUAGCUCACUGGUCGAGUCGGCCUGCGCGGAAGAUGUAACGGGGCUAAACCAUGCACCGAAGCUGCGGCAGCGACACGAUGUGUUGUUGGGUAGGGGAGCGUUCUGUAAGCCUGCGAAGGUGGCCUGUGAGGGUUGCUGGAGGUAUCAGAAGUGCGAAUGCUGACAUAAGUAACGAUAAAGCGGGUGAAAAGCCCGCUCGCCGGAAGACCAAGGGUUCCUGUCCAACGUUAAUCGGGGCAGGGUGAGUCGACCCCUAAGGCGAGGCCGAAAGGCGUAGUCGAUGGGAAACAGGUUAAUAUUCCUGUACUUGGUGUUACUGCGAAGGGGGGACGGAGAAGGCUAUGUUAGCCGGGCGACGGUUGUCCCGGUUUAAGCAUGUAGGCUGGUUAUCCAGGCAAAUCCGGAUAAUCAAGGCUGAGGUGUGAUGACGAGGCACUACGGUGCUGAAGUAACAAAUGCCCUGCUUCCAGGAAAAGCCUCUAAGCAUCAGGUAACAUCAAAUCGUACCCCAAACCGACACAGGUGGUCAGGUAGAGAAUACCAAGGCGCUUGAGAGAACUCGGGUGAAGGAACUAGGCAAAAUGGUGCCGUAACUUCGGGAGAAGGCACGCUGGUGUGUAGGUGAAGUCCCUGCGGAUGGAGCUGAGACCAGUCGAAGAUACCAGCUGGCUGCAACUGUUUAUUAAAAACACAGCACUGUGCAAACACGAAAGUGGACGUAUACGGUGUGACGCCUGCCCGGUGCCGGAAGGUUAAUUGAUGGGGUUAUCCGUAAGGAGAAGCUCUUGAUCGAAGCCCCGGUAAACGGCGGCCGUAACUAUAACGGUCCUAAGGUAGCGAAAUUCCUUGUCGGGUAAGUUCCGACCUGCACGAAUGGCGUAAUGAUGGCCAGGCUGUCUCCACCCGAGACUCAGUGAAAUUGAACUCGCUGUGAAGAUGCAGUGUACCCGCGGCAAGACGGAAAGACCCCGUGAACCUUUACUAUAGCUUGACACUGAACAUUGAGCCUUGAUGUGUAGGAUAGGUGGGAGGCUUUGAAGCGUGGACGCCAGUCUGCGUGGAGCCAACCUUGAAAUACCACCCUUUAAUGUUUGAUGUUCUAACGUUGGCCCCUUACCGGGGUUGCGGACAGUGUCUGGUGGGUAGUUUGACUGGGGCGGUCUCCUCCCAAAGCGUAACGGAGGAGCACGAAGGUUAGCUAAUCCUGGUCGGACAUCAGGAGGUUAGUGCAAUGGCAUAAGCUAGCUUGACUGCGAGCGUGACGGCGCGAGCAGGUGCGAAAGCAGGUCAUAGUGAUCCGGUGGUUCUGAAUGGAAGGGCCAUCGCUCAACGGAUAAAAGGUACUCCGGGGAUAACAGGCUGAUACCGCCCAAGAGUUCAUAUCGACGGCGGUGUUUGGCACCUCGAUGUCGGCUCAUCACAUCCUGGGGCUGAAGUAGGUCCCAAGGGUAUGGCUGUUCGCCAUUUAAAGUGGUACGCGAGCUGGGUUUAGAACGUCGUGAGACAGUUCGGUCCCUAUCUGCCGUGGGCGCUGGAGAAUUGAGGGGGGCUGCUCCUAGUACGAGAGGACCGGAGUGGACGCAUCACUGGUGUUCGGGUUGUCAUGCCAAUGGCACUGCCCGGUAGCUAAAUGCGGAAGAGAUAAGUGCUGAAAGCAUCUAAGCACGAAACUUGCCCCGAGAUGAGUUCUCCCUGAGACUUUAAGUCUCCUGAAGGAACGUUGAAGACGACGACGUUGAUAGGCCGGGUGUGUAAGCGCAGCGAUGCGUUGAGCUAACCGGUACUAAUGAACCGUGAGGCUUAACCUU
rnacentral:rRNA from 2 species